ensembl:snRNA U6 U6 spliceosomal RNA
GUGUUACUUUGGUAGCACGUAUACUAAAAUUGGAACAGAUAAGAUUAUCAUGGCCCCUGGCGCAAGGAUGUCACGCAAAUUCGUAAUAAUUUGU